UUAGAUCCUCAGUAGAUCUUCUCUCUUUCUCCCUAGCCAGGUUGAGUUAUUCAGAGCAAGAUGAUUUAUCCCCAUCAUUUUUCUCCAGUUGAUUGUUUCCAUCUUGUUGAGAUUAGUCGAGUGUUGCAGCGAUGAUUCAAAUCUGUGAGAUUCGUAUCCUUUGUGAUUUGUUUUGUCAGCCUAAUCAUCAAUCAUAUACAUACAUAUUCAUACAUCAGAUGUUUCAUUAUACACUUUU
rnacentral:lncRNA from 1 species